UCCUACGGGAGGCAGCAGUGGGGAAUAUUGGACAAUGGGCGCAAGCCUGAUCCAGCAAUGCCGCGUGUGUGAAGAAGGCCUUCGGGUUGUAAAGCACUUUUAUCUGGAGAGAAAUNUGCAGGGCUAAUACCCCUGCAGUCUGACGGUACCUGAGGAAUAAGCACCGGCUAACUCCGUGCCAGCAGCCGCGGUAAUACGGAGGGUGCAAGCGUUAAUCGGAAUUACUGGGCGUAAAGCGUGCGUAGGCGGUUCGUUAAGUCUGUUGUGAAAGCCCCGGGCUCAACCUGGGAAUGGCACUGGAUACUGGCGAGCUAGAGUGUGAUAGAGGAUGGUGGAAUUCCCGGUGUAGCGGUGAAAUGCGUAGAGAUCUGGAGGAACAUCCGUGGCGAAGGCGGCCAUCUGGAUCAACACUGACGCUGAGGCACGAAAGCGUGGGGAGCAAACACGAUUAGAUACCCUGGUAGUCCACGCCCUAAACGAUGCGAACUGGAUGUUGGUCUCAACUAGGAGAUCAGUGUCGAAGCUAACGCGUUAAGU
rnacentral:rRNA from 1 species